rnacentral:tRNA from 1 species
GGAGAGAUGGCUGAGCGGUUGAAGGCGGCGGUCUUGAAAACCGUUGAGGAUGAAAGUCCUCCGUGGGUUCGAAUCCCACUCUCUCCG